GAAACACCAUGAAAAACUUUUUUUUUUUUAACAUAAAGGUGAAAUAUCCGCACGAUUUCCUAAAGUGUUGACAAAAAAAGUUGGGCAAAAAAAAAAA